rnacentral:rRNA from 1 species
AUUGAACGCUGGCGGCAUGCUUUACACAUGCAAGUCGAACGGUAACAGGCCGCAAGGUGCUGACGAGUGGCGAACGGGUGAGUAAUGCAUCGGAACGUGCCCAGUCGUGGGGGAUAUCGCAGCGAAAGCUGCGCUAAUACCGCAUACGAUCUAUGGAUGAAAGCGGGGGACCGUAAGGCCUCGCGCGAUUGGAGCGGCCGAUGUCAGAUUAGGUAGUUGGUGGGGUAAAGGCUCACCAAGCCAACGAUCUGUAGCUGGUCUGAGAGGACGACCAGCCACACUGGGACUGAGACACGGCCCAGACUCCUACGGUAGGCAGCAGUGGGGAAUUUUGGACAAUGGGCGCAAGCCUGAUCCAGCAAUGCCGCGUGCAUGAAGAAGGCCUUCGGGUUGUAAACUGCUUUUGUACGGAACGAAACGGCUCUGGUUAAUACCUGGGGCUAAUGGCGGUACCGUAAGAAUAAGCACCGGCUAACUACGUGCCAGCCGCCGCAGUAAAAC